rnacentral:rRNA from 1 species
AAGGGCACCACAAGAACGCGUGGAGCAUGUGGCUUAAUUUGACUCAACGCGGGAAAUCUUACCGGGUCCGGACACACUGAGGAUUGACAGGCAAUAUUAAUACACUUGCAACGUUGUCACAUUUUUUGAAUGUGUUCAACUUAGCUAAGUGGUAUUAUGUUAAAUAUGCUAGUCCUUUCAUGAUUAUGUGAUAGGUGGUGCAUGGCCGUUCUUAGUUCGUGGAGUGAUCUGUCUGCUUAAUUGCGUUUCACUAAGGGCCUAUACAAUUUACGUAUGUCAGUUAUAUCUUUUAUAUGACUUUGACCCCUACUGUCGUGUAAUUUAUUUUAUUCGAUUAGUUGCGUGUGUCUUUGACUAUAAUUUUAACUCAUACAAUUUAGGUCCUGAAAGCAACGAACGUGACCGCAACCUCUUGUUGCUUUCUUACGUAUGUUUCAUAUUAUUAAUAGUAAUAUACAUACAUACAUAUAAUUUUUUUAAAUAUAUUUCAUUAGCACUUCACAGUGUUAUAUGGGUAUGUUUUUUUUAUAUGUGCGAAAGCUUUUUUUAAACUAGAGGGACCGCUGUUAUCUUCCUAAACCAGAGGAAGGUUGCGGCAAUAACAGGUCUGUGAUGCCCUUAGAUGUUCCGGGCUGCACACGUGCUACAAUGAUUAUUGCAGUGAGCGUCUCAUUUUUAUUACACCGCAUGCGCGAGUCCAUUUUUUUAAUUUUCGUGAGUCAAAUCAUUGAUUAUAAAAUAUAUGUAUCUCUGCGCGCGGUAAAGCCUGCUUCGAGAGUAAGUGGGUAAUCAAUUAGAAGUAAUGAUUUCCUCCUAUAUAUGUUAUUUAUUUAAUAUAUUUCUUAGCACACAUAUAUACGGCAACUAUGCCCGGGUAACCUUGUUGUUACUUUUGUGCGCAUAGUUGUACCCUUUUUCCGUAUGUGCGAUUGUCAAUUCAUGGUGGGGACAGACCAUUGUUAAUUGUUGGUCUCGGUCUUAACUAGGAAUGCCUUGUACGGGUCUUUGGUUCAACAAACCACCCGGAAUACGUCCCUGCCCUUUGUACACACCGCCCGUCGCUCUUACCGAUGGACUUCUCUGUGAGUUUGAGGGACUGGUUCAUUCAAUAUAUUUUUGCAAUUUCAUUAUUGCGAUAUAUGACACACUAUGGAAACUUAAACGAACAGUGUGGUCUAAAGGAAAGAGAAGUCGUAACAAGGCAUCAGUAGGUGAACCUGCAGAGGAAAUCA